UUCGUUCAUUAACCGCGCAAAUAAUUAACCGAAUGUGUAGUGUGUUAUGGGAUCACUUAAAAAUUACCACAUUCAAUCUAGUGUACUAUGUUCAGCUAACGUAACUAAUUAGCAGUAACGUGAAACGGAAAAAGAGAAUGAAACGCACACCGUUAUUCCGUGUCCGCGGUAACGCUACUUCGGCGAAUCGUGCGUAUGUUUUUUAUUAAUUCAAUACGACCGACAUUGGCAUGAAAGUGAAAUAAAACUCAAAAUAAAUCAUUUCGUAGAAAUCAAAACCAAAACAAUAAUAAAUUCAAUUUAAGAUAAAUCUAAAGAUUAAAAAUUAUCUAUGAAGCAUGUAAUCCGCAAUAUAAUAAAUAUAAUCAUAUUAUCUAAAA